AAACUCUUGAUAUUUUAUGUUUCUCUGAGUAAACUUUUAAAUAAGUCAAAACUUUCAACAACGGAUCUCUUGGUUCUGGCAUCGAUGAAGAACGCAGCGAAAUGCGAUAAGUAAUGUGAAUUGCAGAAUUCAGUGAAUCAUCGAAUCUUUGAACGCACAUUGCGCUCGCCAGUAUUCUGGCGAGCAUGCCUGUUCGAGCGUCAUUUCAACCAUCAAGCUCUGCUUGCGUUGGGGAUCCGCGGCUGCCCGCGGUCCCUCAAAAACAGUGGCGGGCUCGCUAGUCACACCGAGCGUAGUAAUUCUACAUCGCUAUGGUCGUGCGGCGGGUGCUUGCCGUAAAACCCC
rnacentral:rRNA from 1 species